rnacentral:lncRNA from 1 species
GCUCAAUCUUUGUUUCACUUUAUUUCUCAGAAGAGAAUGACAAGAAGGUAUCUCCUGUGGAAUAUGCACUUAUCACUCCUAAUUCACUGAGACGCAGUAGACCCGAAUGAUCUAAAGAAGGCUCAUAGGUGGAAGGAACUUGCAUCUCUUGGAUGAGACUUUGGACUGUGGACUUUUGCAUUAAUGCUGAAAUGAGUUAAGACUUUGGUGGACUGUUGGGAAGGCAUGAUUGGUUUUGAAAUAUGAAAGCAGCAUCAUUUCAAGAACUUGGACUGAUAUAAAUAAUAAACAUGAAGUCCAGGUGUAGGGCUGGCUGUAAACAUGUUGCAAUAAGAUUUUCAGGAACCUAAGUUCUUCCCAUAAUUGUGAUAUGGUUGUCACAAUUCCGGGCAUCACAGCCUGCAAAGAAUCUCCAGAGCAGAAAGGGGAUCAUGUUUUCUUUUGUCUUUUUUCUUUAAAGAAAGAAAUGAUUUCCUAGAAGUUUGCUGCAGACUUCCUCUGUGUCUCAUUGAAUUAUGCUGUUCGAAAGGAUUCUUGCUGUGUUCUUUGACUGCAGCCCUCAGAUAUGAGUGAGGAGAGAGUGACAUGCACAGAGACAAAAUUCCCCUUUUCAAAAUGAAAGAACGGAAGACGUUCAGCUCACAAAAGUAAAGAAACCCUGGAAUCUGGAUAACCUGUUGUGUAAUUUACGCUAGAAUAACCUUUUAUAAAGUGUUUUAAGCACUAUUUAUCUGACAAUUAUAAGACAAGACUCAGAAAAAAAUGGAUCAAUGAAACAGAAAAUGUCCCAAAUGAGAUGGUCAAAAUAAUCUAUGACUUGGAAAAUAAAAGCAGGAACUAAGACUGUGGCCCUUAUUCGAAAGAGAUGACAUGUGUAUAGAUCUGUGGUUUCUGUCACAAGAAAAUCACUUCUUAGGAGAAUUUUCUAUACAUAACCAGUUUUAGAAAUGCAAAAGAAUUUCAGAAGUAACAAAAGAGAAGAAAAUUUUACGGAAAUCUGGAUUUCCAUCUCAUUAAAAUAGACUGAGGAGGGAUUUGGAAUGUAGACACUUUAUCUUAUUUCCUUAUCUUAUUCUAUUCAUGUUAAUAUCUGUAACUAAAAUAAUCUUUCUUUGACUAGCUGGUUUAUGCUAUUUUUAGAACAUAAUGCUAUAUAUUCUGUUGGAGUGGUUAUUUAGUAGAAUAUUUUGAUAUAAAACCAUAAUCCAAACAUGUGACAACUAAAAUUGUUUGAAAGGACUUCUUAAAAGUAUAAAUGGAAUAGCUUACAACUGAUGCAUGCUUUUGUAAAAAAAAAAAAAAAAAAAGUUGUUAAAUCAAUUAAAUACCAAAGAAAAACUGAUAUUGGAAACAUUAGUUAAACCAUAAUGGAAAAAUUUCCAAGUUUUUAGAUUUUUGUCUGAGUUUACUCCUUAAUACCUACAGAGUUUGGGGUUAGGUUUAUUAGUUUGAGGUGUCAGUUUGGUUUCAUUUUGGUUUGAAAGAAGAAACAGAAAUUAAGAGAGGGAUUUUGAAAAAGAAAGAAGUCAUGGAAAGUGUGAGGCACAAACUAUGCUAACAAAAUUCAGUCAACCCUUUUGCUAAGAACAUAACUAUAUCUCUCAUCAGUCAGAAUGGCAGUUAUUAAAAUGUCAAAAAAUAAAAGAUGCUCUUGAGGUUUCAGAGAAAAGUGAACACUUAUACACUAUUGGUAGAAAUGAAAAUUAAUUCAGGCACUGUGGAAAGCAGUUUAGAGAUUUUUCAAAGAACCUGAAGCAGAUCUAUCAUUUGACCAGCAAUCCCAUUACAGGGUAUAUAACCAAAGGAAAAUCAGUUGUUCCACCAAAAAGACGUAUGUAUGUUUAUGUCCCUCAUGGUGCUAUUCAUAACAACAAAGACAGAAUCAAUGUAGGUGCCCAUUAAUGGUGGAUUGAAUAAAGAAAAUGUGGUAUGCGUACACCAUGGAAUACUAUGCAUACAUAAAGAUAAAUAAAAUCAUGUUUUUUGUGGCGGUAUGUAUGCAGCUGGAUGCCAAAAUCUUAAGUGAAUUAAUGCAGAAACAGAAUCUCAAACACUGCAUAUUCUCACUUAUAAGUGGGAGUUAGACAUUUGGUACACAAAUAUAUAAACCUGGAAAAACAGACAUUAGCGACUGUUAGGGGAUGGGAGAGAGGCUGGCGUGGUACCCAAAACUACCUGUUGGGUACUAUGGUUACUA